rnacentral:piRNA from 1 species
UAAAAUGAUGGAAAGGACAUAAUUUUGCCAGC